GUCAGACGAUGCGUCAUGCAUAUCAAUAAGCGGAGGAAAAGAAACUAACAAGGAUUCCCCUAGUAACGGCGAGUGAAGCGGGAAGAGCUCAAAUUUGAAAUCUUAAAGGGUUUCCCUUUACGAAUUGUAGUUUAAAGAAGUGUUUUCUGUUGAGGUUUUGGUAAAAGUUCUUUGGAAUAGGACAUCAUAGAGGGUGAGAAUCCCGUAUUUGACCUUUACUUUCAACUUUGUGAUACACUUUCAAAGAGUCGGAUUGUUUGGGAAUGCAGUCCAAAAUGGGUGGUAAAUUUCAUCUAAAGCUAAAUAUUGGCGAGAGACCGAUAGCGAACAAGUACCGUGAGGGAAAGAUGAAAAGAACUUUGAAAAGAGAGUUAAACAGUACGUGAAAUUGUCAAAAGGGAAGCGUUUGACACCAGUGUUGUUUUUCUGAAAAUCAAUUAAAGAACUGUUUAUGCUAGGUUGUUUAGACUUUAUCAGCUAACUGUUUAGUUUUGAGCUUUUCUUUAAUGCACUUUUCAGUUAACAAGUCAACAUCAAUUUCUUUUGCUGUAAAAAAGCUUGAGGAAGGUGGCUUGAGAUUCGUCUUAAGUGUUUAUAGCCUCUUGCCUAUGCAGUCGGAGAGAUUGAGGUCUGCAGCGUAGAUCCUUCGGGGCUAAAUGCAUUUGUGCUAAGUUAUAGCAUUUUAUAGACAACUUGUUGACUAUGAUUUGUCUUGUAGCUUACUCGCUUAUGUUAUUUUACCUACGCUUAGGAUGUUGAGCGCAUGUCUCUCUCU
rnacentral:rRNA from 1 species